rnacentral:sRNA from 1 species
GUCAUUCCCAGCAAGGACUGGUGCAGGAGGCAAGCAUGUUUAUCGAUGUGGUGGUUCUCGCCGGUAUCGGCACCGUCGGCCUGAUGGUCGCGUUCUUCGCCGGCGUCGGUUAUUUCAUCUGGAAGGAUUCGCACAAGCGCAAGACGCGCUGAAUCCCUCCGGCAACGGGCACGCAAGGCAAUUCGGGCGACUUAGGUCGCCCUUUUUUUGU